GAAUCUCUACUCUGAUGAGACACGACAUGGCUUUGAGCACACUCUCAGCUGGCUUAAUCAGUGGGCUUGUUCUCGCAGUUUUGGGCUUGGAACUCGUAUUCCUUGGGAUGAGGAAUUCUUAGUUGAGUCCUUGUCCGAUUCCACUAUUUAUAUGGCAUAUUACACAGUGGCACACUUCUUGCAGAAAGGGGACAUGUAUGGUAAUGAUCGUUCUUCAGUGAAACCAGAGCACUUGACAGAUGAGGUCUGGGAAUUCUUGUUCUGUGAUGGGCCUUUUCCUGAAAAUUCUUAUAUAUCUUCUUCUCUUCUAAAGGAGAUGAAGCAGGAAUUUCUCUACUGGUAUCCAUUCGAUCUUAGAGUUUCUGGCAAGGAUCUUAUUCAGAAUCAUCUUACCUUUUGCAUCUAUAACCACACUGCCCUCUUCCCUAAGCACCACUGGCCACGUGGUUUCAGAUGCAAUGGGCAUAUAAUGCUUAACUCUGAGAAGAUGUCUAAGUCCACUGGGAAUUUCCGAACACUCCGGCAGGCAAUUGAAGAGUUUUCAGCUGAUGCCACACGCUUUUCUCUUGCUGAUGCGGGUGAUGGGAUGGACGAUGCUAAUUUUGUCUUUGAAACAGCUAAUGCUGCUAUCUUACGUCUUACAAAAGAAAUAGCAUGGAUGCAGGAAGUCCUUGAUGCAGAGACAUCUUUAAGAACUGGGCCUCCAUCCACAUAUGCUGACCGCGUAUUUGCUAAUGAAAUAAAUAUUGCAGUAAGGACUACAGAGAAGAACUAUAGUGAGUACAUGUUCCGGGAUGCUCUGAAAACUGGUUUUUAUGAUCUUCAGGCUGCCAGAGAUGAGUAUAGGCUCUCCUGUGGUUCAGGAGGCAUGAACCGGGAUUUGCUAUGGCGAUUUAUGGAUGUUCAAACACGACUUAUUGCUCCUAUCUGUCCACACUAUGCUGAGUAUGCCUGGAGAAAGCUUUUGAAGAAGGAUGGUUAUGGCAUCAAAGCUGGCUGGCCAGAGGCUGAUUUGCCAGAUCUUAGCCUUAAGAAGGCCAACAAAUAUUUGCAAGACACGAUUGUCUCGAUGAGGAAGCUGCUUCAGAAGCAAGUUUCUGGUUCAAAGAAAGGAAAUGCCAAUUUGACUAGCCAAAACAAACCUUCUGUGGGCCUGGUAUAUGUGGAUGAGCAGUAUAGUGGAUGGAAAAAGGAAUGUUUGGGAAUCCUGCAGAGGAAAUUCGACACUUCAACUGGCUCCUUUGCACCUGACAAAGAAAUCCUCUCCGAAUUGCAGAAGAGUGAGAUCGGGCAACAAGGCAACUUCAAACAAAUACAAAAGCUGUGUAUGCCAUUCUUGAGGUUCAAGAAAGACGAAGUAGUGGCUGUUGGGGUUCAAGCAUUGGACUUGAAGCUUCCGUUUGGUGAGAUUGAAGUCCUUGAGAAGAACUCGGAGUUGAUCAAGAGACAGCUUGGUCUUGAGACAUUGGAGAUCUUAUCUAUGACAGAUGAUGCUCUAGAGAGAGCAGGGCCUCAUGCUGCAGUUGUGAAGCAGAAUCCUCCCUCACCAGGAAAUCCAACUGCUAUCUUUCUCUGAGUAAAUCAUUUUUGCUGCAUAAGUUUUGUGAUGAACAAGUCUUGUUUGAGACCUACAUGAUGUGAUACUCUCUUUCUAGAUCUUUUUUGUCCGUGCAUUCUGCCUACAUUCUAUUACUUGCUGACAUUCUAGGUCCAAAUUAAUGGUUUAUUUGCUUCAAUCUUGAUAUGGAGCAGCUGCAAUCAUAUCUCCACAGUAGUACUCGUUGAGUAGGAAUUUGACAAUUUGAGCAUCUUUGAGUUUACCAUUCUACAAGGUUUUCCUAGUUGUAUCAUCUUUUGAUCAUUUCUGCUUAUAGCUUGAUUGUCUUUUGAUGCUGUAUAAGCUGUUCAAGUAUGACUGUUUUUU
rnacentral:misc_RNA from 1 species